rnacentral:rRNA from 1 species
AUUGAACGCUGGCGGCAGGCCUAACACAUGCAAGUCGAACGGUAACAGGAAGAAGCUUGCUUCUUUGCUGACGAGUGGCGGACGGGUGAGUAAUGUCUGGGAAACUGCCUGAUGGAGGGGGAUAACUACUGGAAACGGUAGCUAAUACCGCAUAACGUCGCAAGACCAAAGAGGGGGACCUUCGGGCCUCUUGCCAUCGGAUGUGCCCAGAUGGGAUUAGCUAGUAGGUGGGGUAACGGCUCACCUAGGCGACGAUCCCUAGCUGGUCUGAGAGGAUGACCAGCCACACUGGAACUGAGACACGGUCCAGACUCCUACGGGAGGCAGCAGUGGGGAAUAUUGCACAAUGGGCGAAAGCCUGAUGCAGCCAUGCCGCGCGUAUGAAGAAGGCCUUCGGGUUGUAAAGUACUUUCAGCGGGGAGGAAGGGAGUAAAGUUAAUACCUUUGCUCAUUGACGUUACCCGCAGAAGAAGCACCGGCUAACUCCGUG